rnacentral:rRNA from 1 species
UACAGAGGCCUCGAGCGUUAGGCGGAAUCACUGGGCUUAAAGCGUGUGUAGGCGGACUUCUAAGUGCCUUGUGAAAUCCCGCGGCUCACCCGUGGAACUGCUGGGCAUACUGGGAGUCUUGAGCCACCUAGGGGCGAGCGGAACAAAUGGUGGAGCGGUGAAAUGCGUAGAUAUCAGGAGGAACACCUGUGGCGAAAGCGGCGCACUGGACCACAACUGACGCUGAGGCGCGAAAGCUAGGGGAGCAAACAGG